ACGGAAGGCAGCAGUGGGGGAUAUUGCACAAUGGGGGAAACCCUGAUGCAGCGACGCCGCGUGAGUGAUGAAGUAUUUCGGUAUGUAAAGCUCUAUCAGCAGGGAAGAUAAUGACGGUACCUGACUAAGAAGCACCGGCUAAAUACGUGCCAGCAGCCGCGGUAAUACGUAUGGUGCAAGCGUUAUCCGGAUUUACUGGGUGUAAAGGGAGCGUAGACGGCAAGGCAAGCCAGAUGUGAAAGGCUGGGGCUCAACCCCGGGACUGCAUUUGGAACUGUCUAGCUAGAGUAUCGGAGAGGUAAGUGGAAUUCCUAGUGUAGCGGUGAAAUGCGUAGAUAUUAGGAGGAACACCAGUGGCGAAAGCGGCUCUCUGGUCUGUAACUGACGCUGAGGUUCGAAAGCGUGGGUAGCAAACAGGAUUAGAUACCCUGGUA
rnacentral:rRNA from 1 species